rnacentral:rRNA from 1 species
GACAGAGGAUGCAAGCGUUAUCCGGAAUGAUUGGGCGUAAAGCGUCUGUAGGUGGCUUUUCAAGUCCGCCGUCAAAUCCCAGGGCUCAACCCUGGACAGGCGGUGGAAACUGCCAAGCUGGAGUACGGUAGGGGAGAAUGGAAUUCCCGGUGUAGCGGUGAAAUGCGCAGAUAUCGGGAGGAACACCGGUGGCGAAGGCGGUUCUCUGGGCCUGACCUGACGCUGAGGAGCGAAAGCGUGGGGAGCGAACAGG